AACGAACGCUGGCGGCAUGCCUAACACAUGCAAGUCGAACGAGACCUUCGGGUCUAGUGGCGCACGGGUGCGUAACGCGUGGGAACCUGCCCUUAGGUUCGGAAUAACUCCCCGAAAGGGGUGCUAAUACCGGAUAAUGUCUUCGGACCAAAGAUUUAUCGCCUUUGGAUGGGCCCGCGUUGGAUUAGCUAGUUGGUAGGGUAAAAGCCUACCAAGGCGACGAUCCAUAGCUGGUCUGAGAGGAUGAUCAGCCACACUGGGACUGAGACACGGCCCAGACUCCUACGGGAGGCAGCAGGGGGGAAUAUGGGACAAUGGGCGAAAGCCUGAGCCAGCAAUGCCGCGUGAGUGAUGAAGGCCUUAGGGUUGUAAAGCUCUUUUACCCGGGAUGAUAAUGACAGUACCGGGAGAAUAAGCUCCGGCUACUCCGUG
rnacentral:rRNA from 1 species